CCUACGGGUGGCUGCAGUGAGGAAUAUUGGUCAAUGGGCGCGAGCCUGAACCAGCCAAGUCGCGUGAAGGAUGACUGCCCUACGGGUUGUAAACUUCUUUUAUAAGGGAAUAAAGUGAGGCACGUGUGCCUCUUUGUAUGUACUUUAUGAAUAAGGAUCGGCUAACUCCGUGCCAGCAGCCGCGGUAAUACGGAGGAUCCGAGCGUUAUCCGGAUUUAUUGGGUUUAAAGGGUGCGUAGAGGGGUUGUUAAGUCAGUUGUGAAAGUUUGCGGCUCAACCGUAAAAUUGCAUUUGAUACUGGCAGCCUUGAGUACAGGUGAGGUAGGCGGAAUGCGUGGUGUAGCGGUGAAAUGCAUAGAUAUCACGAAGAACUCCGAUUGCGAAGGCAGCCUACUGAACUGCAACUGACGUUGAUGCUCGAAAGCGUGGGUAUCAAACAGGAUUAGAUACCCGAGUAGUC
rnacentral:rRNA from 1 species